UGGGGAAUUUUGGACAAUGGGCGAAAGCCUGAUCCAGCAAUGCCGCGUGUGUGAAGAAGGCCUUCGGGUUGUAAAGCACUUUUGUCCGGAAAGAAAUCCUUGGCUCUAAUACAGUCGGGGGAUGACGGUACCGGAAGAAUAAGCACCGGCUAACUACGUGCCAGCAGCCGCGGUAAUACGUAGGGUGCAAGCGUUAAUCGGAAUUACUGGGCGUAAAGCGUGCGCAGGCGGUUUGCUAAGACCGAUGUGAAAUCCCCGGGCUCAACCUGGGAACUGCAUUGGUGACUGGCAGGCUAGAGUAUGGCAGAGGGGGGUAGAAUUCCACGUGUAGCAGUGAAAUGCGUAGAGAUGUGGAGGAGUACCGAUGGCGAAGGCAGCCCCCUGGGCCAAAUACUGACGCUCAUGCACGAAAGCGUGGGGAGCAAACAGGAUUAGAUACCCUGGUAGUCCACGCCCUAAACGAUGUCAACUAGUUGUUGGGGAUUCAUUUCCUUAGUAACGUAGCUAACGCGUGAAGUUGACCGCCUGGGGAGUACGGUCGCAAGAUUAAAACUCAAAUGAAUUGACGGGGUCAUAGCUGUUUCCU
rnacentral:rRNA from 1 species